GCAAGGUACAAUUGCUUUGUCGCAAUCCUUGCCAGUGAAACCUUUAAUAGAAACAACGCAAGAAUUGUUCAUUUAUUAACAUGAAUCAAGAAAUUAAGGAAGCAUAUGCUAUUUUUUACUUAAAAAAUACGACAAAAAAAAUCGGCGAUUUAUGAGCGAGAAUAAUCUGCUUACCAAAUAAACAAGCACAAGUAUAGGAAGAUGGAAUAUUGAUACAGAGACCACCGUUUUGGCAUGGUGACUCCAAGCAUUCGUCGACGUCCACCUCGCAGAGAAUACCGGUCCAUCCUUUCCAAUCGUGAAAUCAUGAGAAGAGACCGAGGCGUCAAUUUCGCAAUAUUCUCCUGAAAAUAGAAUAUCAAAACAAUAUAUGAAAAUUGGCUACAUUUAUUAUCAUCUUAUUGUACCUGAGUAUCCAUCCAGGCAUUGGCAGGUGAUGCCGUCGUAAUCG